CAAAACAUAGAUGUGGUUCUAGGUUAAUCCCUGUUAGAGUAGAAAAACUGGCACGAGAAAAGAAGAUGCUACCUGAUCUAGCAGAGUUGUACAAGGAAACUCACUAUAAUGAGAAAACACAUGAGUGGAUCUCAUCUCAAGCUCAGUGUAAUUAUGAAAAUAUGAUACAGACAUAGGCUGAUCACCUCUCACAGCCGGGAUCAACCCCUUUGACUGCAGAAAAGCUGUCAAUCAAAGUCCUAAAGCCAAGGUCUGGCUAUGUGAAGGGACUUGGCAUGAGACCUUCAUCCUCUAUUAGGAGGACCACUACCAUAUAUGCUGAAACAAAUGAUUAUGUGAAGCGCCUUGAGAUGCAAAUAGAGACACAGAAGGAACAAAUACAAAUGCAGAACAAUAAAAUAGAAGAU